rnacentral:rRNA from 1 species
UACGUAGGGGGCAAGCGUUGUCCGGAUUUAUUAGGCGUAAAGAGCGUGUAGGCGGUCAGGUAGGUCGGUUGUGAAAACUGGAGGCUCAACCUUCAGAGGUCGACCGAAACCCCCUGGCUAGAGUCCGGGAGAGGAGAGUGGAAUUCCUGGUGUAGCGGUGAAAUGCGCAGAUAUCAGGAAGAACACCCGUGGCGAAAGCGGCUCUCUGGAACGGUACUGACGCUGAGACGCGAAAGCGUGGGGAGCGAACAGG